rnacentral:rRNA from 1 species
UACGUAGGGUGCGAGCGUUAAUCGGAAUUACUGGGCGUAAAGUGUGCGCAGGCGGCCGAGCAAGUCGAGUGUGAAAGCCCCGAGCUUAACUUGGGAACUGCGCUCGAAACUACUUGGCUAGAGUGUGGCAGAGGGAGGUGGAAUUCCACGUGUAGCGGUGAAAUGCGUAGAUAUCUGGAGGAACACCGGUGGCGAAGGCGGCAUCCUGGACCAACACUGACGCUGAGGAGCGAAAGCCAGGGGAGCAAACGGG